rnacentral:rRNA from 1 species
UACGUAGGUGGCAAGCGUUGUCCGGAUUUACUGGGCGUAAAGGGCUCGUAGGCGGCCAACUAAGUCCGACGUGAAAUCCCAAGGCUUAACCUUGGAACUGCGUCGGAUACUGGUUGGCUUGAAUUCGGGAGAGGGAUGCAGAAUUCCAGGUGUAGCGGUGAAAUGCGUAGAUAUCUGGAGGAAUACCGGUGGCGAAGGCGGCAUCCUGGACCGACAUUGACGCUGAUGAGCGAAAGCUAGGGGAGCAAACGGG